GACCAUAAGAGCAAUUAAUGAAUAAGGAUGAUUAAUAAUAAUUAAUGCUAUGAUGAGAAGAGUUGAUAAGUUUCGUUUAUAAUUGUGCAGAUAAUAUAUAAAAGGUUUGUUGUUGUAUUUUAAUAAGUAAAAAUAAGACUAACAAUAGAGUUAAUAAAUAAUAAUAGGUGAGUAUAAAUAAGUAAUCUCAUAGAGGAGAUUAAUUAAAUAAAGAAGAAGUUCUUAUUAAAAGAAUUUAAUAGGAACAUAAUAAAUAGAUGUUGUUAAGAAAGAGAGAAAUAAAUAAAGAAAGAUAAGACUGAAUAAGAAGAAAAUUAUACUUGAUCUGAUUAUAUAAAAUGUAAUUAGAUGACAGAACAGAUUUAUAUUAUAUAAGUUUGUUUUUAGUAUAAUUAGUAAAUAAGAAGAAGUCAAAAGUAGGAGAAUAAAGAAAGGAAAAAUCGAUAUAAAUAAUAAAUACAAAUAAGAAUAUUUAAAUCUUCCUUUAAGAAGGAAGAAUAAUAAAAUAUCUGGUUGAUCCUGCCAGUAUUAUAUGCUGAUGUUAAAGAUUAAGCCAUGCAUGUGUAAGUAUAAAGACCAAGUAGGAUGAAACUGCGGACGGCUCAUUAUAACAGUAAUAGUUUCUUUGGUUAGUAAAAUACAAGCAUAGCUUUGUGAAUGAUAAAGAUAAUACUUGAGACGAUCCAGUUUGUAUUAGUACAAAAUGGCCAAUUCAUUCAAUGAAUUGAGAAAUGACAUUCUA
rnacentral:rRNA from 1 species